UAAAGCUGUAUUUUUAUCAAGGGUUUCUGGUGGCAAUAUAAACCACGAAAGCAAAGCUCAAGUGGUUUGCACGUGUCACCAGAACCCCGGGAUAAAAAUAUAGCCUUAUAAUAUGUACAGUUUGGGGGUAUUUUAUUUAUUUUAUAACGGGAUACCAACAGAAGGAUGCGAUACCAAAUGUAAACUUUAACCUUUUCCACGUCUAUACCCGCAGCGAUGUUUUGUGCCACGUUUGCUCUUUCAGGUGUCUGUGCUUUCAGCUUCCAGUAGGUGCCAGCUUGGCAUGGCAGGCACAGCCAUGUGCAUGGUUGGGCUCUGAGGCCGCCAACCCCCGCUCUGUGGCGAUAAUCCGAGCACCGGCGUCAGUUAUUAAAAUUCAUCCUUCCCUACUGUAAAUCCCUGAGAGCCACCGCUAGGCCCGCGGUUUGUUUGCAGAUGAGAGCGUGGCUGUAAAUUAGGCAUGCAGCUGCCCAUGACUGAUGGGCACUGCUGGGCCCUUCCCAGCAUGGCACGGUGUGGCAGGGCGGCGGGGGCCUGGCCCUGGCACUGUUGCCUUUGUUGGCCCACAUCACCCCAGGGCCGGGUCUGGUCCGGGGCCUCCUCGCCCCGCCAUGCAGGGCCUGCUGGCGGCAUGGAGCUGAGGUCACUGCCGAGUUUAUGAAAACACCGGAGUGGGGAAAAGAUAUUAAAACACUGGCAUCCCUAUACGUAUCUCUGUAUGUAUGCACAUGCAGUGGGGAGAAGAAAAAAAAUACCACGCUCGGAACAAGACAGCUAUGUUCUUUUUGCCUGGAAUUGGGUUCCUCUGACCUAUCAAGUUUCCUCCCAUUCAGCCUCGCAGUGCUUUGAACUGCUGACAUUGAGACACUGUGCAGCCAGGCACGACAGCUGGCUCUGCAGCAUCUAAUACCAACACAUGCUGUUUUAGCCCAUUUCCAGAGACUAAGAUAAUGAAAGAUUCAAAAAUAAUAUUUGUUUUGGCGGAACUACAUUUAUAAUGAAAUAGAUGCCCUUGACCAUGGAAGAAACUGAAUUUUGCGGUGGGUCAUUCUCCCCCCUCCUUCUUUUUUCCAUACAAAACACUCUCUACAGCCAGUCUAAGGCCAAUGGAAAUAUUUAAAAGGAACACGUUGUAUUUCCUGGGUCAGAUUUACAGCAGCAAUGCAGUGACACUGGUUGUACUGUUUUAUGCCGGAAUGAAAAAUGCAGAUUGCAUCCUAUGUAUCAAUACCAAAUGGAGAAGGGCCCCAGGCUCAGGGAUUGUUACAGAUCACUUUCUUGCAGGCAGAGUUUGCCGCGUUAUGAGCUCAUACUGUAAGCAUCUUAAACAGGAGAGCAAUUCAUGGCAGAUACAAGGCAGUUUUUAGAUAUAUGCCCAAAUCUUCUUCUCCCUCUACUCUUCCAACCAACUCAUUUGGAGGAAUUAGACAUCUGAUGAGGGCCAGAAUGAUUUGCCCCAUAAAGUUUCUGUUCAGUGUUUCUAAACAGGCACUUACUACAUAAUACUUGAUAUUUGCUGUACGGCCUGUUGGUUGAAUGAUGAGCAGUGAUUUACUUAGUAGGACAGCGUUACCUUUUUCCAAAUAUAUUAAAUUAUAGACAAGGGGCAGUAAUUUUAACCCAUGUUUUCUAUAAGCAUCACAGAUCAUUAUUUCUUCCAGUAAUCUCUCAGAUUAUUGCAUUUAAUCGUUUUCUCCAAUGUUUUACAAUAUGUAAAAGUCAUGAUAUUUGUAAUAUGUAUUGCUCCCAGGUCAAGGAGAUACACGUUGCCUUAAAAUGUUAAUUCCUGUGAUAGGUGUUGCUGAAGACCUGCUUUCCUUUAAAGAAAAUGCAAUAAAAAAAUAAAGCCACAGAAAGAUUGCUUAAAAACUUAAAGCACAGUAAUCCAAUGGGAGCCCUGUAAGAUUUAUGUACUAUUUCAAGAGUAAUUGCUUAGUAAGAAUCUUACAGGAAUGUAAAAAUCCUCAAAGAAUUGCAUUUACAGAUUUAAUUGUAAUUCCUUUUAUAAUUCCAGCAGAAAUUGAACAGAAAUAGCAGUCGAAGGCUUCCCUUUAAAACUCGCUGCCCUCGCUGGGUUACUGUAUGCCUCCGGUCUGAGCUGCUGCGGCUGGCUUUAAAAACAAUGGAAAAUAUUACUGACAGUGUGCUCACUUGCCAUUACAGCACACAGGAUAUUUCAGUUACAUUGAUGUGCAAAUACAGCUCGUCAAAGGGCUAUGUGCUAUUUUUAUUUCAAAUAACACGCGCAGGGUAUGAGUAACAAAUAAAUACGAUUAAUGCGUGGCUUGAAAAGAUAGCGUUUUUCCCGGCUUUCUCUAUUUCUUUUCCAGAGAUAUGCCUUAGCAAAACCCAAAACCUUUCUCUCUUUUACAGGCUGGGAUUUUCAGGUGAUUUGUGUUUAAUUUUGCUGUUUUUGUGGUGCCCUCUUCUUGGCAAAGAAGAAAUUUGAUCUUUCUCAAGCAUUCAUUUUUCCCCCCACAUUGCUGUUGCCAGAGGGGCAAGCAGGGCCAUCCUUGGCUCCAGCACCGCAGCUUCACCGUCCAGGCUGCAUCCCCUUCACCCCUUAUCGGCCCUCCUUGGGCUGAUCCAGACCAGCCCCUGGCCCGUGUGAAGUAACGGGCAGCUGGCAGCGCGGUGGGGCCGGGGCUGGACCCAGCGGCACCGGCGGGCGACAGCGGGGCGGUCUGGGCUCCAUCAGCCUCACACUGUGGCCAACUCAUGCAUGCGGGGCCAGCCAGGAGCCUGGGCCUGGUAGCAGGGCCACGAGGUGAAAAUUGACGUGAGUGCAGCGUGCUGGCAGCCCUCGUGAUUGAUGAAAGGAUAUUGUUAACGAGCCUUUAAAGUUUCUCGUUAAUGGUUACUCUUUUAUUUUUUACCCCAUUGAAAAAAGCCAGAAGAAAAAAAAAAAUUCCACAUGAGCAGUAAUUAAGAUCGAUCUCAUACAGUACGUUAAGUUAUCAAUUUUUAAAACCUCUUCAAGUGCCUUAUUUAGUUAUUUUAAAAAGAGCUUUUCAUUUGUUACAGCGAACAGGCUUGGAGCGUGGCAGCGAGGGCUGUGAGCACAUAGGGCAGAACGGCACCUGGUGUCCCCCAUCCUCUGCUGAUCAGCUCCAGGACUCAGGUUAGACAGUGCGAGUCUACUGCUGGGGCUGCAGGAUUGACGACAGUUUCUUGCAGAAAUCUUGUGUCUUUGUUGAACGUUGGCUGUGUUGGUCAUUUGUUACGGGGCUGUGCUUGUUGUGCGGCACUGCACAGCCAACAGCUGGCCAUGGUUGGUUGGGGGUCAGGACCCGGGCAGUGGGAUCUGUGAGGUUUUCUCACACAGAUCUGGGGUUGGUUUGAGCAAGCAGAGUGAAAACCAUUCAUCCAUAACGUGAUCAUUUGAAAAAUUACUGCUUUUAUUUAUUGAAUUUGCUAUUGUGGCUCAGCUUUACUCACAAGCUUGACGUAGAUUAUGGCUCAUGGUUUUUAAACUGUAAGUCCCAAAUAUGAUCCUUAUUUCUGCUCUUCUUGAGUAAACACAUUCCGUAUCUUUUAGAAAAUAGCAUCACUGUGAUACCCGAAUGCAGAUUUAAUUUCAAGGAGUGACAGGCAAGCAGCGCUCCUCCAGUGUUUAACCACAAUACAUCUGUGGUACAAUGGAAUGCUUUCUUCGUAGUGCCCAACAAAAAACAUGUCCUUGUUCUGGCUGAACAAAGUGCUCCAAGCAAACUUUAAUGCCAGUACCACUUUUUAGUUACAGAUAAUCUUCUAAGGGGCUCGGGGUAGCGCUUCACCCAUAUACUGGACUGGCAGUUUCUGUCAGGAGAGCUGCUGAGAGAUUUUUAGGAACGCACAGGCUGCCGUGUGUGGCCCGUGGUCCUGAGCCACCACUGGUACAUGGAGUUGGAGCAAUGUGGGGAUGACCACGGAGUUCUCCUGCCAGAAUGCCACAUCAGCGGGGCUGGCCAGGCAGUUCUUUGCCCUCUUGCUGUGCCAUGGCAUUGAGCCCUGGCUGCAAUUCUCCUCUCCUUCGUGGCCAAUGAGCCCAGGGCCUCGCCAGCCUCUCUGGCUGGGUUUUGUUUUUUUUAGCUGUAUGCAAACAUCAUCCUUCCCAGUGUCCCACCGCGCUCAUCAUAUGGUUAGCCACCAUUCGCAAGGUGAAGGUGCAAGCACUUCAAAAGGCAUCAUGCACAAAAGCACAGCUUGUCCUUGCAGUACAUGUCAGACACCAAAAAUAUCUGACAGUAACAGAGAGCAGCUGAAGGCAAAUGGAUCGGUGUCUGUUUGUGCAGCAGCAGCAUCCGGGUAGCAGCAGGAGGGUACAAAGCUGGCACGGGAGGCACAGGGCAAGUAACGAAAGGUUAACAGGGAAAUCCACAUACAGAGAAUGAGAUCUGAUGAGUUACAUUCAACAUGACCACCAACAAACUGGAAAGUAACAGCAAAAACUGAAACAAAACCAAUGUGUUGUUCGUGGACAUUCAAUUGUAAUGUAUUUUGCAGCAGAGAUUGUUCUGCAAAUGCAGUGAAGUGCAAAAAGAAGGGCACUGAAGUUUGGACCUCUGAAUACUGCUUGGGUUGGAGAUCACCUCUGUAGCUGCAGGAGCAUCACUGAGAGGCUGCAAGAUGAAGAAAUGUUUGUACGCUCCAACAACUCCAUCACAUUUGUCCUCUAAAAUGAGCAGGCUAAAAACACCCCGAGUUCUGGUGGAAGGCACCAUUUUGAGGAGCAGGGCGUUGAUUGAGCGGCUGCUUGUCCCCAGCUCACUCAUCAGUCAUCCCGCGCCACCGUUCCCGAUGACCAGCAAACUGUCUGCAACCUUCUGGUUGUCAAGAAAAUUGUGACAAGGCAAAUGUCGGAUCAUGUGGAGCCUUCUGAAUUUUUUGACCCCUUCAAUCUGUUUUCCAGCCUGCGUAUGGCAGAGAAGCUGUGACGGACUAAUUGCUUGUCUCUUUUCUCCGGGCAGAGGAUAAAGACCAGGUAUAUCAUCUGAUUCUUUUGUAUUAGCAGCAUCCUCUAUUUCAGUCUUACGUCCUUAUGUCAACCACUGCAGGAUAGCUCUGGACAAGCUGCCUUUCUGCCAAGGUUGGAGAGGAAGAUGAUGAGGUCCAACAAUGUUUUGUUCCUAUGUAGGACUUGCAAAAAAGAAAAACGUCUGUUUUCAUCUUCACCCAAACACAAAAUAUUGCAGCAGCUGAGAGGAAAAGAUAGCUUAAAAACAAUGUGCUUCCAUUUCUUGUUUCAGCCUACGUGCAACACUUUUAGGUAGAAUACCCUGUGUUUGAAACGAACUGCAUAACCAUUGAUCUCGAUUUUACUAAAUUGCCCUGCUCUGUGCUCUGUGACUGUUAUCCUGGACAGAUGUUUUCAUGGGCUUUCUUUUAAACUGUUUCUUGCCAUUGGCAGUAAAACAAUAUGAGAAUUGUGAAGUUGGAUGGACUGUGUAAACUGCAGAGAUUGAUUUUUCAGUUUGGGAACUGUAGUGAAAAGCUCUAUGCAAAUUCAGAUUCCAGCCCUCUUUCCAGUGCUUUGUAGCUUAUUGCAUUUGUUUUGAAUAAUUGAAGAAGUUAGUAGCGUUUGGUUCAGGUGGAAAUUGGAUUAUUUUUGGUUAUUUGGAAUUUGAUUGUAAAUGGCUCUUGUGAUUUCCUUAAGAUCUGGGAGUACCCUGGGGAAGAACCUGCAGAACUUUGAAAGCACCAAAACUUUUCCAAAUAAUUACUGGAGUUCAGUAAGUAGCUGUUAAGCACUGCAGUUGAAGAGCAUUACAGCUUCGAAAUGCUUGUGAAAACUGCAAUAUGCGAUUGUUGCCAGUCAGACUUAACUAGAGAGGAACUGAAAUGUAGAGCCUUACCUGCUGCUGAAGAGGCAGCAGUGAUGGGUAAAGCUGGUUGGAAAGCUCAAAACCAGAUUGUCCCUGGAAAUCAAGAGGCAUUGUGUUCUGGGGAUGUGUAACAUCUGAGAUGUGCUGUUUGUGCACUCCCCAAUAGGCACUGUCCCAGUGGGGAACACCUUCCAAUACUUGAAGGCAGCAUAUAAACAGGAGGGGGUACAGCUGUUAAUGAGGGUGGCUGGUGAUAGGACAAGGGAGAAUGGUCUUAAACUGAGACAGGGGAGGUUUAGGUUGGAUAUGAGGAGGAAGUUUAUCACCCUGAGGGUGGUGACACACUGAACAGGUUGCCCAAGGAGGCUGUGGAUGCCCCAUCCCUGGAGGCAUUCAAGGCCAGGCUGGAUGUGGCUCUGGGCAGCCUGGGCUGCUGGUUGGUGACCCUGCACAUAGCAGGGGGUUGGAACUGGAUGAGCAUUGUGGUCCUUUUCAACCUAGGCAUUCCAGGAUUCUGUGAUUCAUGGGCUCUGUGCAGAUCCCUUGCUGAAGUCCCACUAAAGGUGCCAGGGCACCAGCAGCACAGCCAGGCACUGCUGGAAAUUGAGGCUUACAUCCUGAUGUUCUGGUGAGCACAGCAUUGCACGAACCUGGAUCACCAGGUGAUGGUGAUGGUUGUCCAGGAGUGCGCCGUGAAGCUCUGAACCCCAACCAUGGCUGGAGGGCUCGGUGACACCAGGUGAUGGUGAUGAUCAUUAAGGGACAUGGUUUAGCGAGAACCAUUGAUGAAGGGCGGAUGGUUGGACUGGAUGAUCCUAUGGGUCCUUUCCAACCUUAGUGAUUCUAUGAUUCUAUGAUGAGGUGGGAGCUGCCUCCACUUCCUGCCAAGAGGUUGCAGAGCGCUGGGUUCAAACACAGCAGAACUUCUCUGUGCCACAGUCCAAAUUAUCCCCACACUGCAUUAUAGUUUAAGCAUUAAAAUUCAAGGUCUAAAUACAUAGUUUUAAAUUGGAGAUGAGUAUAUGCACGUUGCAAAUGCAGAUGUAUCUUGCUGAGUACACAGCCCAUAAAAUAUGUAGUGUAAGAUCACUCAUUUAUUUAAAGACGCUUUUUACUUCAGAUAGAAAAUGACACAAAUCUAAAUAUUACAAUGCAAAGUAAUGUGUAACUGUCUGUAUGUUAUAGCCUUAACACUAUACUUCUGAUGCAGAAGAGAUAUAAAAGCUGCACUUUAAUUUCAAGCAAAUUGAUCCCAGAUGUAAAUGUUGUUUUGUUCCAUGGAAGAUAGUGCACAGGUAAAGCAAAUAUCAUUGGUUUAUAGUCCAACAGAGUGUUGCAACAGGAUCCAGCUUCUUCUGCCUGGGCACUCAUAAAAGCCUGGUGGCUAUGACAGAGGAGAAUACCUGAAAAGGAUACCAUAAAAAGAGAUAGCUUUGCUUUUUACCCUUUAAGAAUGCAGCCACCUGUGAUCUAAGUAGCUGUUUUGAAGCCAGGAAAGCUUCUUGGUUUGUCACUUAUCCUGCAGGCAAAAUCUAAAUUUGGCUUGUUUUCCAUUUCUUUCCUUUCCCUUUUUGUAGAAGCAUUUUUCUCCCACUGUAUUUAUGUUUGAUGUAAAACUAAGAAAAUAAUGAUAUCAAUAGAUAUAUAUUUCCUGACUCAGUAAGCCACUUCUUUCAAACUAAAAAUAACAAAGGUAAUUCCGCUUCACUUUGCUUGGAGAUACUCCAAAGUCAGUGGUGCUUUGGGCAACAUAUAAACAGCAUCAUGGAUUCUUUGCCAUUCCCAGCAAAGAGAACAGUGAGGAAGGCCAAACAUCCUGCUGUCACAUCCCUUGUUUUGAACAGCAAGAUUUUGAGUAAAUAAACAGAACAACCCAUGUGCUGGAGCAGGAGACGCUCACCCCAGCACCAGUGCUCCACCAAACACAGCACCUACCAUUCUCCCAAAGCAAGAGAGGCUCUCUUAGCCCCAUUAUCUCUCCUUGUUCCAAGACAAAUUCCCACUCUCCCUUUCCUUCUGUUCUGUCCCUAUGGAAGCCAGAGGACUCGCAGCUGGGCUUUCUUGCUUUUAUUUGCUAUUGCUUUUAGGUGAGAUCUGCACAUGCAGUUAAGCUAUGUUCACAACAGGUGUCCUUUAGUGAAACUGGGGAAAUAUUGUGUUUGGAUGCUUCUGAGUCAGCACGGUGUGAAUUGGUGCUUAACAGAUUGAAGUCAGGCAUUUGAGAGCUCCCUAUCUUGAUAGCUACAUGGAUUUAAUGCUGCUUCCUUCUGAAUCGCUCUGGGUAAGUCAGUGCAUGAGUUGUGCUCUGGAUGCUUAGUCAGUCUUUCAAAUGCAAAGAAGUACUGUGGAGGUGUUACUGAGGGACAGGUACUAGGCAAAACUCUUGCACAUUUGCACGGCCACUUUUUUUCCUUACGCCAUAUUGGAUUGACUGAGUCUGGCACAGGUGUGAUACAAGGCAUGCACAAGCUUGUGUAGCAACUUCUGCAGGUUUUCCAGGGUAAGAUGUGCUGACCAGACCUGAAUUCUUCACUCAGCCAAUACCUGUCAGGAGCUCAACGUCAAAUUAUUCCAGCUUUAGAUCCCUGUUUCUGGUUUUGGUUUUGAAGGAGCAGGAUGGGGCCAGGAGCGGGGCUGAGCAGUGUGACAGAGCUGCGGGAUGAUAGCAGGGCACUUCCCUCAAACCUCAGGUUGCAAGAACUGACAUUUCCAUUCAAAUUACUCCCAUCGCUGACCGUUCCCUGGUGCAACCUCUGUAAGUGUGACACGGUGACAGUGAUCCAGAAAUUUAACUUGCUGUUGUCUCUCUCCGAGUGGAAUUAUGAGGUUUGUGACACGCAGGAUGGCUGCUGGGUGCAGCUGGGGCUUUGUGUGCAUGUGAUUAAUUGCAGGUUGAGCGCAGGGCUCGGGUAGCUCUGUCAGCUCAGGAUGGCUGUCCCUGCCACCACCCGGCUCCUUCUGACUCCUCCUCAUCUCCCAUUGUCUGAGCAAGGAGCCACCACUCCACUGAAGCCUCCUGGCAUCUCCUCGCUGCCUGAGAUUUCUGUACAUCUCUCUCUUUAAUUACAAUGGGCAGAUCAUCUGUUCUUGACAUGUGAGUACCUGAUGGUCACAUUUUUCUGCUCCCUCCACUCCCCAGGGAUGCCUCCUGGAUUUGCUUUUCUCACAACUUGACUUUCAUUGCAAGUUUCCUUUUUCUGUCCAAUCUUUAAAGCAGGAGGUCUUUUCUAUUCAGAAAAUAGGCCAGCAGAUUUUGUGAUUCAAGGUGUUGGCCAUACGCAGACUGAAAUUGGAUAUAAUUUUUGCCCAAUUUUACUUCUGUAUCACCUGGUAGUUCCUGGCAGUUAAUUCUGGUCCUUGUCAAAUCUCUGAGUUUGGAUGAAGUUUUUGUGAGAUAUUCCUCAUGAGUUUUGUGGGAAGUUAUUUUCACAUCUUCUUACACCUUCACGCCAGCAUCUGCUAUAUGAGUUGCCUUCUGCACGUGGUUGCUAUUUGGCUUGAACUAAGGGUUUGGAAGCAAUGGGGAAGCAUCAGUCCUGGCCUGUGACCUCUGGAUUGCAGCUUUUCUUCCUCCUUUUGGGCCUACAACCUCCCAAUAAUCUGCAAGGGUUUACAAGCCCAUGAGAGCUUCUUCAGUCUUCAGAAAUGUCACAUGGUUACACUGCACCUUACGGUAUGAUAUCAGUUGGCCUUGGUUGAAUCUUUCAGUAAACCCCUUUUAAAUCUGACUUAGAUUUUCCACCUGCAAAGAACUGCAACCUUAUGUUAUGUUCAUGGUCGUUUUUGAAGAUGAAUCCAUAUAUUGAGAAAUGGUCUAACCAAGAUGGCUGAAACUGCAGCUAAAGCGAAGGUGGGAAUUAGCUGUGUCCCAAACCAAACCUUUCUAAAGUGUUUCUAAAGUGUUCCAUUCUAGCCCUAAGAAAGGAAACUGCAGUGGGAGCUUCCCAGGGCAGUGCUCCUUAGCAAGUCAGGGUACCUGUGAAGGCAAAAAAAGGCAGAAUCUUCGUUUUUUCCUUGCCAUUAUUUGAAGUCCUCAGAUAAUUUAUGCAUGUUUGUUUCAAAGCAUGCAUAAUCUUGUGGCCAUUAAGAUACGACUUUGAUGUCCACAUUAAAGAUAAUGAGCUGAUUCCCAAUAUCAUUUUGAUUCUAAAUAUUUCUGCACACUUAUGGAAGGGUCAUAUCAAUAGAACAGCCUUAAAACCAGAAAACAACAUGAGAAAUGGACACAGAGGGAUUCAGAUGCUCCAUUUCCUGCAGUGGGCCUGCUUUAAACAUUGUGGCAAAGGCUGCAAGCACUCCAGUAUCUCAGUGGAGGAGGCCUCUGGAAGCUGCUGGGAUGCAUCCAUGUGGCACACAGUGCCCAUCAGUCCCAAUGGGAUUGUAGUACUGCUGGAAAUACAAAUGUUGGUUGGUCCUUAUGCCUGUAUGAGCAUUUGUGAGUGCUAUGUGACCCUGCUAGGAGCUCCUGGUUGUCUCAGGGGGCUUCUAUGCAAAGCAGAACUGCUAAAAACAGUAUAUUAUCAUCCAAAAGGUGAUAAUGAAGUUUGUGCCCAAAGCUGCCAAGGAAAAAGUGAAAAACGACCAGAUCAUAGAAUGGAAAUUUAAAGGUUGAAUGUGAUGGACUCUUUGCAGUUACUGUCACAGAGGCUUUGGAUGAAAAAUAAACCAAGAACUAUCAGUUCAGUGUAUAUUAGGCUAAUUCUAGAGUUUCAAGGAGCACCACUUGCUCCUGUGUGUGACUGAACAGCUUUAAAUCUCCCACAGUCUGGUUGGAGAGAGGAGCAUGGGCACCGGUAUGAGGUUGAAGGAGAUAUGCUGUAAAAGUAGUGGCUUUCAUUAAGAUGAAUCACCAUAAAAAUAACAACACAGUGCUUUGAUAUAACCGUGAAUAGAGGAUUAACUGCACAAUGCUGCCAUUUUUUUGAAUUCUGAGUGUCUCAGAGUUUGUUCUGUGUUUGUUUGUGAUGCCAGCAAUAGAAAUAAUGUUUGGCUGCUAAGCGAGCAGGUGUGCUGGGAAAGGUCCUUACAGUGCUUGGAACCUGCUUGUCAGCAGGUGAUGGUUUGGGGGAGGGAGAGAGGGGAAAGAUUCUCUUAUUUUAUUUUCCAGGGCUUAAAUGUAAUGCUGGGAGCCGAAUUCAAAUUUUAUUUCUUACCCAAACUCUUAUCUCUGUGACUGUGAGCAUGCGUGCGCAGAGGAGAAAGGAAAAACAAGAGGAAAAGUAAAAAGAGAAGAUGCAGGCCAUGCAACCUUGCAGGGAGGUUAUUUAUAGAGGAUCUCUGCCUUUUGUCAGAGCUGUGGCUAAUGGUGUUCUUCCAGAAGAAAACGUACUCCGUGCAGCAGAAGAGGAAGGAUCCUGCAGUGUGUGUGUAUAAGCUGAUGGCAGCGAGACAAGAAGGGCUGUGGCAGAAAAGGCUGUGGAACAAAACCCACAACAAUCUAAUCAUGAUCGCUGCUAGUCAGUGAGAUCUGUGUGAGAAGAUGUUGAAUAAAGCAGACACAUCCAGGAAAUAAUGCCCGUCCAGUGCGGCCAGAUGGAGAGGGUAUAUCCUGACAAGGCAUUUGUUUUAAUAAAUGUUCAAUUAAAAUCAUUUCUGUGGUGCGAGCGUGGUCCAGAAGUAGUAUGGGAAUUAAUAAGAUUGCUGAUAGAAAUAAACAUAAUUGUGCACUAGUUAAGAAUGAUAGUUAUAAAAAACAAAUCUUCAACGUUUCCUAUAGGAGUAUUUUGCCUAUUUGUGAAGCAGAAAAUACUCAUUCAAGCGAGACUGUAAAAUGAUGGCUUUAAAGUUCUAGCUUUUUUUUACACAAAAAAUAACAGCGUGUGCUCCUCCUGCGCCCAUCAGCAGUCUGUGGGUUUAUAUACAUACCAUUAACAGAGGAAAAACUCCAAUAGGAACUUUUAUCUGUAGUUUAACAUAUACACCAUCUAAUCAAAAGUUUAUGAUAGGAGAAAUCUCAGAUGAACAGAGGAAGAUGUAUCCGGUUUAUACCUUGAUACAACCCCGUUUAUGUGAGAAUCUGUGCGUACGUGAGUCCCAUGUGAAGUGAGCAGAGCUUUGUAAAUGGGUGAAAUUUUGUCUGUGCUUGAGUGUUGCCUUAGAUGGAGUCCAAACAGAUGCUUAGCAGCAGGUUUUAUUUCACUAGCUGUGGCUUGGUCUUCGUUGCUGUUUGCGUUGGGUUGUUAUUAUAUUGUAGAAUGGCCUGGGUUGAAAAGGACCACAGUGCUCAUCAGUUCCAACCCCCUGCUAUGUGCAGGGUCGCCAACCAGCAGACCAGGCUGCCCAGAGCCACAUCCAGCCUGGCGUUGAAUGCCUGCAGGGAUGGGGCAUCCACAGCCUCCUUGGGCAUGAUGCCACGUGCAUUGUAGGCUCAGGGUUCAGCGUGGGGUGACAUUGGGCCUGCAGCCCUCCCGCUUCCAUCCAGCACUGGGGCUGGGGGGCACGUGUCAAUAAACAGAAGUUGCACAUGUCAGUGGCAGCAAUGAAUCUGACACUUAGAAUGUCUGGAAAUGCCAGAGCUGAAAAGGUUAAGUUCACAAUUUGUUUUUAAAAUGAGAAAUUUGGUGUUUGUGAAUUUGUAUUAUUAUUACUAUUAUUAAUUUUGGAGGUGUUUAGUUUACUUCAGUAAUUAGAGCUGCGUGGUAACCUCAGAUAUUCUCCCCAUACUUUGAAUUUUAUUUCUGUAUGAAUCCAAGUGAGUCUGUUUAAUGCACAUAAUUUCUUCUCCAAUGUGGUUGUCGGGUUUGCUGUGUCUGCUGCUUCAGCUCUUCCUUAAAUGUGGUCACCCAGGAUGGGCAUUCUGAGACCACGGGGGCUUUGGUCAGCCUGGACUCAGUGGAGGUCUCCCUGAUCACAGCAGGGCUUGGAGCUGGAUGGACUUUGAGGUUCCUUCUAACCCAAACUUCUCUGUGAUUCUGUGAGAACCUGAGGCUCCUCCUGCCCAAGGUCCAGCUGGGGAGCCCAGCAAAGCCCUCUGAUCCCAGCCCCCAGCACUGCUCCUGGCCACAGCUGAAGGUCUGCUUCCUGCAGAUUGCUAAUAGCCAAUCCACUGGAUUCUCCCCCAGAAAAUCUUCCAGGUGCCCAAAGCACCUGCAGCCAUGGUGUUGGCUGUCAAGACAACAGCAGAAGCAUUAGCUUUUGAGCAUCUUUAACUAUGUGAUAUUUUUGACCAUUCCACCUGACAACCUAGCUGCCUGCUAACCCUUCUGAAGAAGACUAACUUAGGCUGCAAAUAUCUGAUGCUUUCCCAAAUGCUCCUUUGAGAAAUACCUCAAUAUCUAUAUUAUCACGUAAAAUAUUUACAAGUUUUGCUGUUUUCUCCUGUUGCUCCCAGGCAGACUUUAGCUAAGUGUUAAAACCAGUCCGUCUUCCCAUUGCUUCCAGAAUGAAGAAAGAGAGAAAGAAGCAAAUAACAGCCCCUCCACUCCCUCCCCGCCCCCCCCAAAAAAAAGAAAGAAAGAAAAUUACUGAGAGCUGGUAAUUUAGUACUAGAAAGUUAAUUCAGGAGACCUCUAACCUUUAAACUGCCACGUGACUAUUGAUUUUCAAUAUCGCCUGGGUCCAUGCCACCCUAAGCGUGUAGUUCAGCAGAUUCAGAACAGUUUGUCCCUUAUCAGCUGGGUCCCCAAGUAUUUGUGCAUUAAGACAACAAAUGUUGGUGGCUCACGGUGCGUCACAUGGCAGCCAGGCAGACGUGCUGGGCUCCUAAUGCAGCAGGGCCUGUGGUGAGCACGGCCUGGCCCUGGGGCUCCCUCUGCUCCCAGAGUGCCAGGUGGGAGGGAGGGAGAUAGGGGAUCCCAGCAAUGCUGGGGUGGAGCUGUGCACAGCCAGUGGGGCACAGGCUUGGCAGGAAAUGUGGCUUUUGUGCCAAAGCAUUAAUGCCUAGCAUUAUUAUUUUAUCGUUAUUAUUAUGUGUAUUAUUAUGCUGUAUCAUUAUAACAUCUAUGUUGUAUAUUAUAUUGUGUUAUAUUUUUAUUUUAUGUUAUGCUUAUGUUAUGUUAUAUUACGUUAUGUUAUGUGAUGUCAUGUUGUGUUGUAUCCUAUCCUAACCUAUCCUAUUCCAUUCCAUUCCACUCCAUUCCACUCUAUUGCAAGGUUUCUGAACUCCCCCAAGGAACAAAUGAGGAUGGAAGCAUGGGUAAUGCUCCAAGACACUCAGGAGUCCCGAUGUGCCGUGUGCCUGGAUUAUGCAGUAAUACCAGGACAUGCUACUUUAAACACCUUCCUCCUUUUGUAAUCACCAAUUAGUGCAAUCAGCGGCGGUGCCCUGAUGAGCUGUGGGCCACGCGUGCGGCACAGCGACCUUCCUGGCACAGAUGAAGAUGUGUUUUAACCCACACACCUAAAGCUCCAGGCGUACCCCCUCCCAGUGCCGUGGAUUAUGGAAAAUGUUACAUCCCAGGGUGGGAAAUGUCAUUGCUUUAAAUACCAGCAUUAACAGUUGGUGAAAGUUCUUUUUCACCAAUGAAGAAAAAUGAAACAAUGGAAAAAGAAUGGAGAAAUAUAUCGGAUUAAAAACAAAAUCAUUUGUGUGUUAAUUCAACCGAGAAGGAGCUUCACUCCCCAACGUCAGUGGCUUACAAGCGAGCAUGUCUCAUACUGGACUUUUUACUGGAACGGUGAAAUAUAUAAUGAAAUUCAACGAGGAAACUGGAAAAACAGCCAAAUUGGUGCAGCAAAGUGGUUAAUAGGAUCAUUAGCCUACUCGCUGUAUUUUUUUGGACAUUGUGUGCCUGUACCGUAGUCCUCGAGAGCAGAUUGCAGGAACAGGCUGACAGUUACCCGCUAACUCAGCAGUGCUGGGUGCAAACUGCCAUCUUCCUGUGGAUUUACAGCUGCCACUUCUGCUACUUCAAUUAGUUCUAUAGCACACAGAUGUUGCUUAAAUGUUGCUGCUAAUGAUACUGCAAUAAGCGUAAGAUUCAUGCCAUAUUUUGAGGCACGUAAAUUUCUCAAGUGGCACAAUUAAAGUGGAAAUAUUAGGUGGGGAGAACUUGGCAGUCUCACGAACUUGGAAAGCGCACCCGCUAUGCAAUAAUGGGUCAAAAAUUCAUUCAAGUUUUACUGCUGUUCAGAGUUUUAAAAGACUUUUCACAGUUGAAUGCAAAGUAGUAAAAAGCAGAGUAUUAGGAAAUGAGAAUGCUGUUCUGUUAUUCAGACAUGACUUUUAAUUUCAAAUUGAAAUCACAUGCCUACCUUCCUCUGCCAUCGCCGUGCGGCGCCGCAAUCGAAAGAGGCACUUGGAAGUAAGAGGAAUAAAUGAGAAGUUUUCAUUAAUAACGAGUUAAUUGCUGCGGCUGCACGGAGCUUCAGCACGUCGGAUGUGUUAGCAAAAAAAAAGUAGUUUCCCAAAUCACACACACAGACAGCAUCAAUCAUUUCUGAAGCCAGAUGUAGCCUCCAAACUGCAGCCUGACAACACAUCUCAUGUUUGUGCAGCCACCAAGCAAUUAUUCUUUCCAUUAUAUCUCCCAAUGACAGAUCUCCAAACCCAGGGCUGUAAAAAUUAGAGUUUGGGCUUACACAGUUGUGUCAGGUCUUAAAAAAAAAAAUAAGAAAACUUAUCAUGGUUGCAGUGUUUAUGAGCUUGUCAAAGUACAUGUACAUAAUUUUCAUCAAAAUUUCUUUUACCUCAUUUCCAAUCCUUCAGGAUUAGAUUUAUCAGCAGCUCAUUCGGCGCAGCGCUGUGCCCGAGCGCUUCCCCACGUGAGAGCAGGACCUGAGGACAGCCUCUUGUUUUGGCUGUCUUUGUGAAGCCUGCCAGCAUUGCUUCACCUCAGACGUUGUUCGUCGCCUCGUGCUCGGAUUGUUUGUAGGGCCCUGCCAUGGGGGGUGCCCAACAAAUUGGAGGUGUAAUUUUUUAAGGUGGUUUUAAGCUGCGUCUCUUUUGGAGGGUGAGGAAAUGUGGAUCACUAUGAAUGUUUUGGUGGGAAAGAAGUGGCAGUGUCAGCACUAAGUGGGGGGGUAAACCCAAAGAAAGGCAGCUGGGAACACAAAGAUUGUUUCAAUUUAAUUUUUCUUUAUUUGUAGCGGAAAAAGAUUAGCAGGCCAGCAGUGAUCUUAAAACUUCCAGCAUAGGCAGUAUUUGAGGGAUGAAGUUGCAUGUGUAGAGAAGCAAUCAAUGACAAAAUAAGGACACGUCAGGCAGGCAGGCAUCGUUCCCUAUAUCUAAAUUACUUAUUUUCUCCCAGUGUACUCAAAUGUUUCCAUUUCUCUGCACGGCUCCGUCCUGCUCCUGUUCUGGAUUAUUUAGCAGCAGAUCUCACAGAUGCCAGCUUUUCUUGUUGUAAGGAAGGAGGACAGCGCAUUCCAGCCGACCUAGGAACAACGCGAGGGGAUGCAGGUUGUGCUGGUGGUGGUGGAGAGGGGAACAUCACUGCUGGGUCUGCUUUGUGCUGCACAGACACACACCAUCCUCCUUGUGCCCCAUUGCAGAGAUGACAUGUCACAGAGGAGGAGGUGCCAGGUGGGCACACAUCAGCAGGAAGGGCUUGGAAGGCAUUUGGCAAAAUUUGUCUUUAUUUGUUGUUAUUUCCCCAUCCUCCUGUUGUCCUUCAUUGCAGCCCACACUCCUCACGCAUGAGGACGCGGUGUCAGUAGGUUGUUUGUUCCCUGGCCAGCCUGUUGGCCACAGAAAAUCAUCAGAUAUGUAAUAAUUAUUUUGCAUUGAGCUGGAUUUACUGCAUCACUGUUGUUUCUAUGAAUGGCUUUGAUGCCAGGGUCAAGUGGAUUUGAUCACUGAUUGUGACUGCUUACACUUUUAACACCAGGAAUUUGGCUCAGGCUGACGUGAAUUAUUGGUGUGUGCCAAAAAUGCAUGACUUUUCUUGAUGACAUUUUACAAAAUUGCCUUCAUCCUACAAACUGGUAUUUCUUUGCAAUUUAUCAGACGUGGGACAUUCAACAGGAGCGCGACGCUGGGCUUCACCAUGCAAUAGCAUAACUGGAAUUUAAUUUCUGCAAAUGGGAUUUCUUUUAAAACUAAAACCUGGUUUUGAAGGACAAAAAAGUGAAAAAUGAACAAAACUUUUAAUGUCAGUUUCAGAAAUAAGGCCAAAGAGGUCUCUGAUUCAUAUUCAUGGAAGUAGAGUCAACAUGUGAUGCUAAUUUUAUGGGGUUUCCAAAAAAAGAAUGCCCUUUCCAUAUAUAAUUUACUGUUUCUGUGAUUCAUCAAAGCUUUUUGUCCUCCAGCACAUGAGUGGUCACCUCUGAUUUAUGCGCCAGAGGACUCAGUAGGUCCAAACCAGAGUGGAGCAGAGCAGCUUUGCUCCGAGUCGCACCUACCAACUCCUUGCGUAAGUUGCUGCAGCAAUACCAGAACUGUAAUGUAAUGUAUGGCAAAGUUGCUGUGGAAUUAUGCACUAAUUGACUCAGCAACAUUUUUGGGGGGAGGAAAAAAAAAAAAAACAAAUCCAAUUUGUGUGGUUAUCAUGGCAACCAGCAGGUGCCCAGGAUGUGCCCUGGGCUGCAGGAACCAGCACUUACUGCCCCCAUGGAGCAUGGGGCUCCCCGGACCAUGGGAGAGAUGCUGGAGCUCCAUCCAUCCUGACUUCAGCCGUUUGUUUCUCAUUCCAGAUACCCUCUGUAGUCUGCUAGGAUAUAUAGGCCAGUCUUGUUUCCCCCCGCACACACUCCAGCCUAUGUCCUCUUUCUAUUUAGGAAUUAAUUAUGAUGCUAUCUCGUAUAACUCAUUAGUAUCAAUUAAUUCUUCGCCUUUCAUGAUUUUAUAUAGCUAAAUUAGAUUGCCACUUAGGAACCUGAUAAUCAGUUUUGGACUCAUUUAGACAUUGCUUUUUCCCCUCUCCACCCAGUUUCGUGGAGCGCUGCGGUGCGGGGCUGGGCUGCUGGGGGCACCUCUGCCUCCUCACUCCACCUGCUUGGCAGCGUGAAUGCAUCCUUCUGAAUUUUAACAGCCCUCACUAUUUAUUUAGGAGCUGUGUUGGAUGGUAUUCUUGCUUUGUCAGAACGAAGAUCCCUCCUUCCAGCAGUUGGCCAAGCCAUUGAGUUCCCUCCCCAUAAGCUCUCUGUGGGGACCAGUAGGAGCACCUGGGGAUGUGUGCAUUCUCGUUCAUCUUGGUGGGAUGCUCCCUGUGAAAUCACAGCCUUGCUGGCAUCCACACGGCCGUGUUUAACUGCUUCACUGCUCACUGGCACGCCGCAUCCAUUCGGGGGGAAAAAGCCGUAAUAUGAUUGAAUAUAUCUGGCAGGACCUGAUAUUCCCACUCAUUUUGACUCCAAUCCAGCAGCAGCAAAGGCAAUUAAAUAACAAGUUUUCUCCGGCAAAAUGAGUUGCAAAAUGCCCCCAGCUGCAUGCUGCAGGAAAUACACCUCAGCUUUGCUGAUUGCCAGCGCGCCUGCACCUGCCCCUGGCUGAGGAGGUCCCAUGCAGCAAGGCUGCUCCCCAGUUGGGCUGUGUGAGGUGGCACAAGCAGCAGGUGUGCAUUGCUGGCAGCACGUGGCCAUCACUGCCUCACUGCAGCAUGGCACACUCCCAGUGCUUCACAGUCUGCCACAUCAGAGCCCAGGCUCAGCCCUUCAUUGCGAAUGCAGACCUGGAUCCUGUAAAUGAGUUGGUUAAAUGAGAUGGCCAAAUGUUGCUUGAAAACAAAAUUCCAGGAGAUCAGCCUGUGUGAAAACGGACCCUGAGACAUAACUGCUGACCCCAAAAUGCCACAGGCAUAGCCCUAACCCUAACCACGCAGCCACCAAAGGGCAACACCACAUUAAAGAUGGAGCUAAGAGCAAAGGAAGCAGCGCUGGAUGAGAUGCUGUAGGCUGCACUAUGUGCAUGUGUACACCAGGAAGAAGGAUGCAGAUGGGUGGCUUUUCCAUCACCUGGUAUUGGGUAAGUAUUACUGACAGAAGGAUCCAGAAAGUCUCGUGAAAAGGUUUUGUCUGAAAUCGCUGUCCUGCAUUGCUUUUUCCUACAGCAGCUUUGGGAGAGCCCAGGCUCCUCCCCAGGGGCUGCACCCAUCACUUUUUUUUUGAAUAUGCAUGUCUUCUGGCUGUUCAGUCUGCUGGCCUGGAUUACUUUAACUAUUUCCUUUUGUGUAGGCAGAUCUAUUUAAUGUUCAGAUUAUACACCUUAUAUUUUUAUGUCUAUGAAAUUGCUGGAUGUUGCAUUUCCCGUAGUAUUCUAUGGGUUGUCAAGUUCUCUUCUAAACGACUUAUGCGUUUAGAAGUUUGGAGCUACUAAGCAAAGAAAACAUUAUUAUUUGCAAUCAAAAUGUUGUGUGGGUGGUUUGUGGUCACCAUGUCCUUCAAGAUGCUAAAACAGGCGGAUCUUAUCCUUUCAAAUCUAUUUUUAUUCAUGGACAGGGAGAGGAAAACACAUUUUCUGCUCUUCCAGCUUCCAAUCAGGUUUUCAGUUUCAAGUGAAUUAGUCACUGACCUGAACCAGACAAAUACACUGAAAGGAACAGACAAUCCUGCGCCGUUGCUGGAAGGGCUGUCACAAGGUUUGUCACCAUGAGGCAGAGGGGCUGAGCCCAUGCACAGGAGUGGGCAGCCCAUCCCACCAGCAGCAGCGCAUCCCUGGUCAGCAGCUCUUACCGCCCUGCUACGUGUCAAUAUUUAAUCUUCACGUUGAAAAUAUGGAGCACAGUAGCCAUGACAGCAGGCAACAAAAAGGCUUUCUCUUCUCAUCGUGAUGCCAGAAGACUGCAGGACAAGGUCAUUUCAUUAAGGCAUUCCAGUUUUGUGGUUGUGACGUCUUACAGCGACCUAAAACAGAGCAUUUUGGGCAUCUUUAUCUUCUUUAUCUGCUCAACUCCUGGCCAUUUCCUGCACAGCAGCUUCUGAAAUCUCUCCCAUCUAUACGGAUCAUGCAAGACACCCACAGCAAACCACAGUGUGCAGACAUGAUGUAGCACUGAGAGAAGCUGAAGCAUUUGUCUUCCAGCCUCCCCUUUGUCCUACCUGGGAUCUGACCCCUUCUUCUUGCAGUAGUAUGGGGUAGCAGUUCUCACCUGCAGAGGUAACUGCUGGAUUUGAUGGCCUUAUGCUAGGGCCUUGCUUUCCCACUCAACAGCAACAUAAAGCAAACAUGAACUGUUCUGCAAAGCAGCAUCCCAGCAGCAGUGCAGCCUUUGGCAGCUUAGACUGGUUUGGGACACAACGUGGGACAUGCACACACAAGUGACUGGUCCCCAUGUGGUGCAGCCAUGGCACUGUGGACUGAAAAUAAAGAGAAAUGAGUGAGAAACAUGGAUGCUGAAUGGUGGGGAAGCCAUCAACCAUCAUUGAUAGACCACAGGCAACAAAACCUCAAAAUGGUUCUACCUCACACCCUGCUCUAUGGAGAUUUUGGUUCUACAAGAUUCAGAGGUAAGUUUCUUCUAUUUGCUUCCCACUUCUAUAGAAAAAAAGUUCAUUCCAUCACUUCUGCAAGCACAUAUCAAUCACGAGGUGCCCAAACAGGGCUGAGUUACCUCAUGGGGCAGCGCAGCAUGAACGUGAUGCCUUCAUCCUGUCCCUGCCACCUGCUAAAUGGGACUGACCAUGUUUGGCAUCACAGCAGAGUCCCUUCUGCAUGGCUUUCUGCCAGCAGUGCUGCGUUCUGAUUUAGAGCAAACUUUGUGCCUUCUCCUUAGCCCCCAGUGUCCCAAUAACUCUGUUUUACUCUACUUUGCAGACCUUCUUCCUUUCCUGUCCCCCUGCAAAUGUUUAAACCAUGAUUUUUGUCUCCCAUGGCUUGACUGCAAAAGCACA
rnacentral:lncRNA from 1 species